UUGGUUGUGUUUUGGCUGUUUUCUCUGCAAUCAUGCAGGGGUGUACUCGUGGGAUUAAAUGUGGUUGUUAUACCAUUUUGUUUCCUUCUUGCAGAACUCCCUUUUUCCCUUGAAGCUGCAUCCCUUAACCUGAACUUUGUGUGGUGAAAAGCAGGUGCAACAACAAGGAUUGUAGGGUUGUUACGUGACAACCGCAGAGCUGCUGCUCUACACGGAGCAGGCUUUGCACGGUCGAAAGGUCCAUGGUUGGGGCUGCUGUGAGCCGUGGAGUGCAGGAGACAUUACAGCCUCUUGCUUUUCCUUCUUUUUUUGGGACAAGAGGCUGACUCCUUCUCGGCUUUUGUCUCGUCGACUCGGCCCAACAGGCCGUCGUGAUGGGGCCGCGGUCCGUGCCGGAGAGGCCCAACGCUAGUUUUCCUCCUUUCAUUUUCAUAUUGUAAUAACGUAGUUCGACUUUUAUCUUUGUCGUCAAGAGUUGUAAAUUAGUUCGGGAUUUCUGUAAUUAGCAAUUUCAUUAGCUUUGUAUUAAAUUUGAAAUUUGUACUUAAAAUUCUUAUUCAAGAAAUAAAAUCACUCCUUCAUCAA